rnacentral:rRNA from 1 species
CACGUAGGGCGCAAGCGUUGUCCGGAAUUAUUGGGCGUAAAGAGCUCGUAGGCGGUCUGUUGCGUCCGCUGUGAAAACCCGGGGCUUAACCCUGGGCUGGCAGUGGAUACGGACAGACUAGAGGUAGGUAGGGGAGAAUGGAAUUCCCGGUGUAGCGGUGAAAUGCGCAGAUAUCGGGAGGAACACCGGUGGCGAAGGCGGUUCUCUGGGCCUGUUCUGACGCUGAGGCGCGAAAGCUAGGGGAGCGAACAGG